CCUGAUCAGCCUGCCGCGUGUGUGAAGAAGGCCUUCGGGUUGUAAAGCACUUUUGUCCGGAAAGAAAAGCUGCCGGUUAAUACCCGGGGGUCCUGACGGUACCGGAAGAAUAAGCACCGGCUAACUUCGUGCCAGCAGCCGCGGUAAUACGAAGGGUGCAAGCGUUACUCGGAAUUACUGGGCGUAAAGCGUGCGUAGGUGGUUUGUUAAGUCUGAUGUGAAAGCCCUGGGCUCAACCUGGGAAUUGCAUUGGAUACUGGCGGGCUAGAGUGCGGUAGAGGAUAGUGGAAUUCCCGGUGUAGCAGUGAAAUGCGUAGAGAUCGGGAGGAACAUCUGUGGCGAAGGCGACUACCUGGACCAGCACUGACACUGAGGCACGAAAGCGUGGGGAGCAAACAGGAUUAGAUACCCUGGUAGUCCACGCCCUAAACGAUGCGAACUGGAUGUUGGGAGCAAUUUGGCUCUCAGUAUCGAAGCUAACGCGUUAAGUUCGCCGCCUGGGGAGUACGGUCGCAAGACUGAAACUC
rnacentral:rRNA from 1 species